GCGGAGCUAGCGUAGUGGUAACGCGUCUGGCUACUUCGCAAGAAGGAGUAUUCAAUUAAUUGGAUCUCACAGCUCCAGGAGACAUCGGUUCGAUUCCUUUGCACCGCA
rfam:Pseudogymnoascus pannorum VKM F-4516 (FW-969) contig_1581, whole genome shotgun sequence.